AGGGAGUUUGAUCCUGGCUCAGGAUGAACGCUAGCUACAGGCUUAACACAUGCAAGUCGAGGGGCAGCAUUAUCGAAGCUUGCUUUGGUAGAUGGCGACCGGCGCACGGGUGAGUAACGCGUAUCCAACCUUCCCCAUAGUAGGGCAUAGCCCGUAGAAAUGCGGAUUAAUACCCUAUGUAUUCCGAGGAUGACAUCUGAUUCGGAACAAAGGUUCACCGCUAUGGGAUGGGGAUGCGUCUGAUUAGGUAGUCGGCGGGGUAACGGCCCACCGAGCCAUCGAUCAGUAGGGGUUCUGAGAGGAAGGUCCCCCACAUUGGAACUGAGACACGGUCCAAACUCCUACGGGAGGCAGCAGUGAGGAAUAUUGGUCAAUGGGCGAGAGCCUGAACCAGCCAAGUAGCGUGCAGGAUGACGGCCCUAUGGGUUGUAAACUGCUUUUAUACAGGGAUAAAGUCGGGGACGUGUUCCCCGUUUGCAGGUACUGUAUGAAUAAGGACCGGCUAAUUCCGUGCCAGCAGCCGCGGUAAUACGGAAGGUCCGGGCGUUAUCCGGAUUUAUUGGGUUUAAAGGGAGCGCAGGCCGAUUAUUAAGCGUGACGUGAAAUGUAGAUGCUCAACAUCUGAACUGCGUCGCGAACUGGUAGUCUUGAGUGAGUUCGAUGUGGGCGGAAUUCGUGGUGUAGCGGUGAAAUGUUUAGAUAUCACAGAAGAACUCCGAUUGCGAAGGCAGCCCACAAGGCCUUUACUGACGCUAAAGCUUGAAGGUGCGGGUAUCAGAACAGGAUUAGAUACCCUGGUAGUCCCCU
rnacentral:rRNA from 1 species